rnacentral:rRNA from 1 species
CCCUUAGAUGUCAUGGGCCGCACGCGCGUUACACUGAUGCAUUCAACGAGCUUAUAACCUUGGCCGAGAGGCCUGGGCAAUCUUGUUAACGUGCAUCGUGAUAGGGAUAGAUUAUUGAAAUUAUUAAUCUUGAACGAGGAAUUCCUAGUAAACGCAGAUCAUCAAUCUGCAUUGAUUACGUCCCUGCCCUUUGUACACACCGCCCGUCGCACCUACCGAUUGGAUGGUCCGGUGAAGCCUCGGGAUUGUGGUUCUUGCCGCUUUAUUGUGGCGUGACCGCGAGAACUUGUCUAAACCUUAUCAUCUAGAGGAAGGUGAAGUCGUAACA